rnacentral:rRNA from 1 species
AUUGAACGCUGGCGGCAGGCCUAACACAUGCAAGUCGAGCGGAUGAAGGGAGCUUGCUCCUGGAUUCAGCGGCGGACGGGUGAGUAAUGCCUAGGAAUCUGCCUGGUAGUGGGGGAUAACGUCCGGAAACGGGUGCUAAUACCGCAUACGUCCUGAGGGAGAAAGUGGGGGAUCUUCGGACCUCACGCUAUCAGAUGAGCCUAGGUCGGAUUAGCUAGUUGGUGGGGUAAAGGCCUACCAAGGCGACGAUCCGUAACUGGUCUGAGAGGAUGAUCAGUCACACUGGAACUGAGACACGGUCCAGACUCCUACGGGAGGCAGCAGUGGGGAAUUUUGGACAAUGGGCGAAAGCCUGAUCCAGCCAUGCCGCGUGUAUGAAGAAGGUCUUCGGAUUGUAAAGCGCUUUAAGUUGGGAGGAAGGGCAGUAAGUUAAUACCUUGCUGUUUUGACGUUACCGACAGAAUAAGCACCGGCUAACUUCGUG